rnacentral:rRNA from 1 species
GACGAACGCUGGCGGCGUGCUUAACACAUGCAAGUCGAACGCUGAAGCUUGGUGCCUGCACUGGGUGGAUGAGUGGCGAACGGGUGAGUAAUACGUGAGUAACCUGCCCUUGACUCUGGGAUAAGCCUGGGAAACUGGGUCUAAUACUGGAUACGACAUGUCACCGCAUGGUGGUGUGUGGAAAGGGUUUUACUGGUUUUGGAUGGGCUCACGGCCUAUCAGCUUGUUGGUGGGGUAAUGGCUCACCAAGGCGACGACGGGUAGCCGGCCUGAGAGGGUGACCGGCCACACUGGGACUGAGACACGGCCCAGACUCCUACGGGAGGCAGCAGUGGGGAAUAUUGCACAAUGGGCGAAAGCCUGAUGCAGCGACGCCGCGUGAGGGAUGACGGCCUUCGGGUUGUAAACCUCUUUCAGCACGGAAGAAGCGAAAGUGACGGUACGUGCAGAAGAAGCGCCGGCUAACUACGU